rnacentral:rRNA from 1 species
UACGAAGGGGCUAGCGUUGCUCGGAAUCACUGGGCGUAAAGGGUGCGUAGGCGGGUCUUUAAGUCAGGGUGAAAUCCUGGAGCUCAACUCCAGAACUGCCUUUGAUACUGAAGAUCUUGAGUUCGGGAGAGGUGAGUGGAACUGCGAGUGUAGAGGUGAAAUUCGUAGAUAUUCGGAAGAACACCAGUGGCGAAGGCGACUCACUGGCCCGUUACUGACGCUGAGGCGACGAAAGCGUGGGGAGCAAACA